rnacentral:rRNA from 1 species
AUUGAACGCUGGCGGCAUGCCUUACACAUGCAAGUCGAACGGCGGCACGGGUGCUUGCACCUGGUGGCGAGUGGCGAACGGGUGAGUAAUACAUCGGAACGUACCUUAUCGUGGGGGAUAACGCAGCGAAAGCUGUGCUAAUACCGCAUACGCCCUGAGGGGGAAAGCGGGGGAUCGCAAGACCUCGCGCGAUUAGAGCGGCCGAUGCCUGAUUAGCUUGUUGGUGGGGUAAAAGCCCACCAAGGCGACGAUCGGUAGCUGGUCUGAGAGGACGAUCAGCCACACUGGGACUGAGACACGGCCCAGACUCCUACGGGAGGCAGCAGUGGGGAAUUUUGGACAAUGGGGGCAACCCUGAUCCAGCAAUGCCGCGUGAGUGAAGAAGGCCUUCGGGUUGUAAAGCUCUUUUGUCAGGGAAGAAACACCGGCUCUAACACAGUCCGGGAAUGACGGUACCUGAAGAAUAAGCACCGGCUAACUACGUGCCAGCCGCCGCUGUAA